GUUUUUUUGAUCAGCCGUAUACAAAUUAAAUCGAACGGAGUUACAUUUUUCUACCAGCGUAUUUCGUAUUGCAUUUUCACUGUCGUGACGCGGUUCUAGCCCGAAAACAUCGUGCAAUUGCGAAUGAACGAUUCGUCGAGUUGAUGGUAUCUCGCCAUUCUUCGAUUUCGGUAAAGUUCGCGAAAAGAGAAUAAGGACGACAAAAA